rnacentral:rRNA from 1 species
CAAUAGCGUAUAUUAAAGCUGUUGCGGUUAAAAAGCUCGUAGUUGGAUUUCUGUCAAGGACAACUGGUCCGCCCUCCGGGUGAGCACAUAGUUUGGUCUUGGCAUCUUGUUCAAAACUGCUACUGCGCUUGGUUGUGUGGUGCAGUUUUGGGCACUUUCACUUUGAGGAAAUUGGAGUGUUUCAAGCAGGCACAUGCCUUUGGACACAGUAGCAUGGAAUAAUUAGAUUGGGCUUUUGCUCCAACUUGUCGGUUCCUGGAGCUGAGGUGAGAAUCAAUGGGGAUUGUUGGGGGCAUCUGAAUUUAGCCGUCAGAGGUGAAAUUCUUGGAUCUGCUAAAGACGGACAACUGCGAAAGCGUUUGCCCAGGAUGUUUUCAUUGA